UUCAUUGAUCUCGGUCAAUUUUAUUGUCAAGGGGGAGAAAGAAACGCGAGAGAAGGAUUAAGAAAACUCGGAAAGGAAAAAUAUCUGGGAGCUGCGACAGGAAAAAUGGACGCGGCGAUAGGGAAGGUUUUCGGUUCCGUCUCAGACUUCAUAUCCGGCGCUGCCUCUGGUUUCUCCGAUGAGUUCCCCUUGUGCGAUACCGACAUCAUCUCCGGCUGUGAGAAAGAACUUGCAGAGGCUCAGAAAGCUAAAGACGAAGGACGUACGAAGGAGUGCAUCAUGCGUCUUUCAUGGGCUCUUGUUCAUUCUAAGAUGCCUGGUGAUAUACAGCGUGGCGUAGCUAUGAUUGAAGGUUCGGUUGUUAAUGAUACAAGUGCAAUGAAACUCAGGGAGAAGCUUUAUCUCCUUGCUGUUGGUUACUAUCGAAGCGGUGACUAUUCAAGAAGCCGGGAUUGUAUCGAACGUUGUUUGGAGGUUGAACCGGAGUCCGGACAGGCUCAGACACUUAAAAAGGCUAUAGAGGACCACAUUGUGAAAGAUGGUGUUAUUGGCGUUGGAAUUGCUGUUACUGCUGUAGGGGUUGUUGCUGGUAUUGCUGCGGCCUUUAUACGCUCAGGCUGAGAAGGAACGAACUUCAUUCAUGUGCAUGUUUCCCUGAUCUUCACAAGGCUAGAAGAAAAGACUUGUAGUCCCCUGAUGUCUCUUUAGCUAUGGCUUGAUCGAGACUCACAUCGUUCCGCUUGAGAUACAGCUCACUGAUCUUCUUCAGGUCCUUUUCUGCUCGUGUGACAAUCACACGGUUCAGAGCAUCUUCAUCAGUCCCCACUGUAUUGAUUGAGUUGCGCAACACCUAGGUGCAAAAGAGAUAUAAAUACCAUUGGGAUAAAUUACAAAAUCACAUCUGAAAACUAUUGUUGUAUCUUCCCUUUGAGUAAUACCGGGUAGGGUUUUUAAUGCACCUGAUGGCUGCGCGUAGUGCACUCAGGUACUCAUUUGUAGGGUGAUUGAGGAGAUCCUGGUCAUCAAAGGUUUCAUUAUGAAUAUCGUCAUGAAGAAAUACUGUGAUCGAUCUGCCGCCAUAUAUAUCCUUGUAGCGAUUGAAGAUUGCGCUAAGCUGCAUGUUGCUUCUUGUACUUAACACCGUGAUCGUUUCUUCAUGUUCAACAGCCUUACCAAGGAUUUCAUCAUGAAGAAUCCCAGCCUCUGACUGUGCAAGCAUCUCAUCAAUUUCCUCUCCAUCAUAUUUAUAGGCAGACGCCAUUGCAACCAAGAGCUGUGUAUAUAUCAAAAAUCCCCAAGCGUUGGAGAUCAAGUCAAGACAAGAAGAAAACAUCUGGAAAAUUAAAAUUACUCACUCUCCUGAUGUCGCCAAUAGUACGGGAGGCCAAGUCUUCCUCAAGAGAACGCUUGUAGAGGGAACGGUAAGCACGUCUAGCAGCUAAUAGAUCUUCAGGGAAUCUCAUGCAGGCAAUUUCGACAAGAACCUUGUAGUCAGGAAUAGGCUUUUGAAGAGCCAAGUUAGCCAAAAGAGCAUCUCUCUCUGGAGGAUCCAAGACCCACAAGCAAACAGCUCUCUGCAGCAUCUUCAACGGGGGAGAAAUGUGGAGGAGAAACAAUGGUGGCCAUUCUGCUCGACUCAGAUUUACUCACCUUUUGGAUAUUACUUCCAUUGCUUUGAGCUCUCUCUAUUUAUAACAGUCGAUAGUGAGGUUACAAUGCUUUUGAGACCAUAAGUAUGUUCAAAGGCUCAUUGAUUGUUUACGAUAUGUGAAUCUGAAACUCUCUCUAUAAUUAACACCGCCCGUUUAUGUAUGACUUUGCCGUUAA